rnacentral:snRNA from 1 species
AAAUAUUCAAAUGAGAAC